UACGAAGGGGGCUAGCGUUGUUCGGAAUUACUGGGCGUAAAGCGUGCGCAGGCGGUCUUCCAAGUCAGUGGUGAAAGCCCGGAGCUCAACUCCGGAACUGCCAUUGAAACUGUGAGACUCGAGUACGAGAGAGGUGAGUGGAAUUCCCAGUGUAGAGGUGAAAUUCGUAGAUAUUGGGAAGAACACCGGUGGCGAAGGCGGGUCUCUGGGCAGUAACUGACGCUGAGGAGCGAAAGCGUGGGGAGCGAACAGG
rnacentral:rRNA from 1 species